rnacentral:rRNA from 1 species
UACGUAGGGUGCGAGCGUUAAUCGGAAUUACUGGGCGUAAAGCGUGUGCAGGCGGUUUUGGAAGGCAGAUGUGAAAUCCCCGGGCUUAACCUGGGAAUGGCAUUUGGGACUGCAAGGCUGGAGUGCGGCAGAGGAGACUGGAAUUCCGCGUGUAGCAGUGAAAUGCGUAGAGAUGCGGAGGAACACCGAUGGCGAAGGCAGCCCCCUGGGCUAGCACUGACGCUCAGGCACGAAAGCGUGGGGAGCAAACAGG